AAAGAAAGAAAUAGGCACACUUAAAAUUCCUAAUAUUUUAGAGAGGGGAUGAAAUGCUGUUCUCUCUUCCAGAGCUUUCCCAGAGCCCGUUUUCAGAGAAGGAAUGGUGCCUCAAGAGGAUGAGAGUAGAAAGAGUUCAGUCCUUCAGCUUGGGAUGGAGCAGAUUAUCCGGAAUGCUGUCCUUUCUUGAACAGAUCCACAUGAAACCUUCCCACUCAGUAAGAAAGUUGUGUAAUGUCCUGCUCAGUGAAGGCAUGCAUUCCUGGAAGAGCAGAGGUCCUGAGAAUGUCAAAAGCUCUUGA
rnacentral:lncRNA from 1 species